GACGAACGCUGGCGGCGUGCUUAACACAUGCAAGUCGAACGGAAAGGCCCUGCUUUUGUGGGGUGCUCGAGUGGCGAACGGGUGAGUAACACGUGAGUAACCUGCCCUUGACUUUGGGAUAACUUCAGGAAACUGGGGCUAAUACCGGAUAGGAGCUCCUGCUGCAUGGUGGGGGUUGGAAAGUUUCGGCGGUUGGGGAUGGACUCGCGGCUUAUCAGCUUGUUGGUGGGGUAGUGGCUUACCAAGGCUUUGACGGGUAGCCGGCCUGAGAGGGUGACCGGCGACAUUGGGACUGAGAGACGGCCCAGACUCCUACGGGAGGCAGCAGUGGGGAGUAUUGCACAAUGGGCGGAAGCCUGAUGCAGCAACGCCGCGUGCGGGAUGACGGCCUUCGGGUUGUAAACCGCUUUCGCCUGUGACGAAGCGUGAGUGACGGUAAUGGGUAAAGAAGCACCGGCUAACUACGUG
rnacentral:rRNA from 1 species